UACGUAGGGGGCUAGCGUUGUCCGGAAUCAUUGGGCGUAAGAGCGCGUAGGCGGCCAGACAAGUCCGGUGUGAAAGUCCAGGGCUCAACCCUGGAAUGCCGGUGGAUACUGUCGGGCUCGAAUCCGGAAGAGGUGAGUGGAAUUCCUGGUGUAGCGGUGAAAUGCGUAGAUAUCAGGAGGAACACCGAUGGCGAAGGCAGGUCUCUGGCUGACACUGACGCUCAUGCACGAAGCGUGG
rnacentral:rRNA from 1 species